CGUAGGCGGUUUGGUCAGUUGGAUGUGAAAGCCCCGGGCUUAACCUGGGAAUUGCAUUCAAUACUGCCAGGCUAGAGUACGGUAGAGGGGGGUAGAAUUCCACGUGUAGCGGUGAAAUGCGUAGAGAUGUGGAGGAAUACCAGUGGCGAAGGCGGCCCCCUGGACUGAUACUGACGCUGAGGUGCGAAAGCGUGGGGAGCAAACA
rnacentral:rRNA from 1 species